rnacentral:snRNA from 1 species
GUGCUUGCUUCAGCACAAAUACUAAAAUUGGAAUGAUACAGAGAAGAUUAGCAUGGCCCCUGUGCAUGACACCCAAAUUCACGAAUCAUUAAAAAAUAAA